rnacentral:rRNA from 1 species
GAUGAACGCUGGCGGCGUGCCUAAUACAUGCAAGUCGAGCGAACAGAUGAGGAGCUUGCUCCUCUGACGUUAGCGGCGGACGGGUGAGUAACACGUGGAUAACCUUCCUAUAAGACUGGGAUAACUUCGGGAAACCGGAGCUAAUACCGGAUAAUAUAUUGAACCGCAUGGUUCAAUAGUGAAAGACGGUUUUGCUGUCACUUAUAGAUGGAUCCGCGCUGCAUUAGCUAGUUGGUAAGGUAACGGCUUACCAAGGCAACGAUGCGUAGCCGACCUGAGAGGCGGAUCAGCCACACUGGAACUGAGACACGGUCCAGACGCCUACGGGAGGCAGCAGUAGGGAAUCUUCCGCAAUGGGCGAAAGCCUGACGGAGCAACGCCGCGUGAGUGAUGAAGGUCUUCGGAUCGUAAAACUCUGUUAUUAGGGAAGAACAAAUGUGUAAGUAACUAUGCACGUCUUGACGGUACCUAAUCAGAAAGCCACGGCUAACUACGUG